GGGCUGGAAGUUCAAUUGGAUGAGCAUCCGACUUCUAAUCGGAAAGUUGUGAGUUCGAAUCUCACCUGGCCCA
rnacentral:tRNA from 1 species